rnacentral:rRNA from 1 species
AGUGAACGCUGGCGGCGUGCCUAAUACAUGCAAGUCGAACGGAGAUUAAGUAGCUUGCUAUUUAAUCUUAGUGGCGCACGGGUGAGUAAUAUAUAGCUAACUUGCCCAUUACUAAGGGACAACAGUUGGAAACGACUGCUAAUACCUUAUACUCCGUAUCUAUAUAAGUAGAUACGGGAAAGUUUUUCGGUAAUGGAUAGGGCUAUAUCGUAUCAGCUAGUUGGUAAGGUAAUGGCUUACCAAGGCUAUGACGCGUAACUGGUCUGAGAGGAUGAUCAGUCACACUGGAACUGGGCAACGGUCCGGAAUCCUAGGGGAGGGAGGAAAGGGGAAAUUUGCCCAAUGGGGGAAACCCAGAAGCACCAAGGCCGGGUGAGGGAUUAAACUUUUCGGGACGAAAACCCCUUUUCUUGGGAAAAAAUUUGAACGGAACCAAAGGAAAAAGCCCCGGUAACCUCGGG